rnacentral:rRNA from 1 species
AGAGUUUGAUCCUGGCUCAGAUUGAACGCUGGCGGCAGGCCUAACACAUGCAAGUCGAACAGUAACAUUUCUAGCUUGCUAGAAGAUGACGAGUGGCGGACGGGUGAGUAAUGCUUGGGAACUUGCCUUUGCGAGGGGGAUAACAGUUGGAAACGACUGCUAAUACCGCAUAACGUCUACGGACCAAACGGGGCUUAGGCUCCGGCGCAAAGAGAGGCCCAAGUGAGAUUAGCUAGUUGGUAAGGUAAUGGCUUACCAAGGCAACGAUCUCUAGCUGUUCUGAGAGGAAGAUCAGCCACACUGGAACUGAGACACGGUCCAGACUCCUACGGGAGGUAGCAGUGGGGAAUAUUGCACAAUGGGGGAAGCCCUGAUGCAGCCAUGCCGCGUGUGUGAAGAAGGCCUUCGGGUUGUAAAGCACUUUCAGUUGUGAGGAAAAGUUAGUAGUUAAUACCUGCUAGCCGUGACGUUAACAACAGAAGAAGCACCGGCUAACUCCGUGCCAGCAGCCGCGGUAAUACGGAGGGUGCGAGCGUUAAUCGGAAUUACUGGGCGUAAAGCGCACGCAGGCGGUUUGUUAAGCUAGAUGUGAAAGCCCCGGGCUCAACCUGGGAUAGUCAUUUAGAACUGGCAGACUAGAGUCUUGGAGAGGGGAGUGGAAUUCCAGGUGUAGCGGUGAAAUGCGUAGAUAUCUGGAGGAACAUCAGUGGCGAA